rnacentral:rRNA from 1 species
GAUCAUGGCUCAGGAUGAACGCUAGCUACAGGCUUAACACAUGCAAGUCGAGGGGCAGCAUUUUAGUUUGCUUGCAAACUGAAGAUGGCGACCGGCGCACGGGUGAGUAACACGUAUCCAACCUGCCGAUAACUCCGGGAUAGCCUUUCGAAAGAAAGAUUAAUACCGGAUAGCAUACGAAUAUCGCAUGAUAUUUUUAUUUAAAGAAUUUCGGUUAUCGAUGGGGAUGCGUUCCAUUAGUUUUGG